rnacentral:tRNA from 1 species
GUCCAGGGGCGGAAUCGAACCCACCCCUUCUGCUUACCGGGCAGUGCCUUGUCCACACGGCUACCCUGGA